rnacentral:rRNA from 1 species
UACGUAGGGAGCGAGCGUUGUCCGAAGUUACUGGGCGUAAAGCGCGCGUAGGCGGCUUUGCAAGUCGGGUGUGAAAUCCCCAGGCUUAACCUGGGAACUGCAUUCGAGACUGCAUUGCUAGAGUAUGGGAGAGGGAAGUGGAAUUUCCGGUGUAGCGGUGAAAUGCGUAGAUAUCGGAAGGAACAUCAGUGGCGAAAGCGACUUCCUGGACCAAUACUGACGCUCAUGUGCGAAAGCGUGGGGAGCAAACAGG